AAAAAUAACCCAGCCUUUUUUAGAGUGUAGAGGAAUAUUUUUGUUAACUUCUCAUCUUAAGUGAAAUAUUAUUUAACUUUUACCUUAUUUGUUUAACCAUGAUAUUAAUAGAAACUAUAGUAAGAGCUGGACUGUUGCUUUAUUUAUCCAAUUUGAAAAAAGUGCUAAUUUGGAAUAACACUAUGGAAAAAGUGGGCCGGUCUUGGGCCUGAAACUCCCGGGCUGAAAAGUGACCCCACUCCGGCCCUGAUGAAAGCCAUCGCGUGAUCAGGCAGCUCCGGCUUCCCGCAUGCACGCGGACAGAUGAACCUCCUGCCCUGACUGCAGCUGGGAGAGGCACAAAAGUAUCCAAAAGUCUCCAACAACGCCAGAAAAAGUCGGUAGAUUUGUCGCUUUGUUAAAAAUGACUGUUUACCAGGUAUACAGCCACCAGGAAUGAAUGGGGCUAGGCUAAAUCCUAACACAUUCACAAUGCGAUGUACAAAGAUUAAGUGCAUGCAUUGAAAAAAGAUAGGUAUGUAUUAAUUAGUCUAAGUUGAGGUAAGAACAUAGUAAAAUAUUGAAAAACGGUGGGUUUUCCUUUAACAUUACUCUCGCAUCAGCUAUUGUGUAAACACAUUUACCCACAUCACGAAUGACUGCCUGCGCAAGCGCGCACCACAGCCACCAUAAUGAAGUUACUCAGGGUAACGUUAGCUCAGAAUUCGAGUAGUAGCCGUAUAUAUCGGAACUCAGGGCAGAGCACCCGGGUAACGAUAAGCCUAGCUAACAAUCGUCCUGCUAAAUUAGCUAACAUUAGUCAUUUUGCUCGAAGCAUAGACAAACUCUACGCAAGGUCUACGUUUGUGCAUUACUCAGCAUUGACUUGUUCCUAAAAACACAAUAUAAGCGGUAGCUAACGCUAAUUUAAAUCAAGCAAACAAAUAGUUGUUGUUUUUGCUCCAAAAAAGUUGACUUACCUUGAAUAAGAUGGUUCAUUCACGUUAAAAGUGUCCAUCAGACUCGCGUGGUAGCCAGGUGUGUCUCUCAUCCAAAGGACUGCGCUGUCUUCAAGAUUCUGAAGGAAGUGCUAAGAUUCCGAUUGGCCCAGAGAAAAGCAAAUGCUAAGAUUCCGAUUGGACCAGAGAAAAGCAAAUGCUAAGAUUCCGAAUGGCCCAGAGAAAUGUCAAUAAGAAUUAUCCAAUGAUGUUUGGCAAUUCUAGCCCGCAUGGCAUUCAGAUAAAGGGCAGCCUCGCGACCCCCCCCACCACCUCAAAAAAAAAACUCUCCGGUUCUACGCGAUUCACGUGAAUGACCCAAUUGACCAAGAAAACGGCGAUUGUCGCAGAAAAGCGACAAGUUUGCAGGUCUGAUAUAUGUGCUGCACACAUGAUAAAAAUACUGUGCUGCAAGGUGGCUAAAGUUAAAUGUGUGAAGCAAACAAAGGACCUCUUCCUAUACUCAAUGAGUGCGUUUACAUGCACAGUCUUACGCUGAUUAUGUUUAAUAAACUGAUAACACGUGGGGUCAUGUAAACGUGUAAAAUUGUUUUCUUUUAUCUGGGAAAGCCUAUAAACGGCGUAAGCAAAAAAGAUCGGCAGAGGUAGUUUUUUGCUCAUUACCCCGAUUUCGCGUGGCAUGUAAACACAUUAACCUGCUUUCUGGCGGCUUGGGUCAUGUGCGCAUGUGCAUGACUUAAACAUCACACACGGAAGUUAAAGCAAACCGAAACCUAACAUGGCUGCAAAGUGUUCACACUUUUGGAGAGACGAAGAAACUGCUCUAAUGCUAAAUCUAUGAACUAAACAUUAAAGUAUCUACCCUGCUGAAAAAAACAGCAUACCAGCAAGACCAGCAUAUGUUGUGUUUUGGUGCUGGUUUGCUAGUGAACACCAGCUAAACUAGCAUCAAACCAGCAUCAGCACCAGCAUUAGCACCAGCUAAACCAGCAACAAACCAGCAUUAGCACCAGCUAAACCAACAUUAGCACCAGCAUCCCAUGCUGGUCAUACCAGCAUAUGUUGUGUUUUGGUGCUGGUAUGCUGUGACCACCAGCUAAACCAGCAUAGACCAGCAUAAUUCCCAUGCUGGUCCAUGCUGGUUUGAUGCUGUUUUUUUCAGCAGGGUAGAUGGAAGGAAGCAUCAAAAUGCCGAAAUGUUUCAGAAGCUGUCGGAUAAACUGACUUAUGCAGGAUUUCCGAGAACUGUAGAACAAGUACACUGUCGAUGGAAGGCAUUAAAGUCUCUUUAUUAUAAAACCAAGAAACACAACAAAACUAGCGGGUCUGACCCACAGAAAUGCCCUUUCUACAAUGAACUGGACCAGCUUCUUGGCCACAGGCCUCUGUCAUCUAUUGAUGAAAACGCUGUUGACCUUGCUUUUGAAGAAACUUCAGCUGACGUCGACAACACAACAAUGGCUAACACAUCAGAUACUUCUGAUUUGUCUGAGGUGACAGGGACGCCAGCCACAUCCACUGAUGAGGUUUCACAGGCAGAGUCUCAGAAUUGCUGCCAAGUUCACAGAGGCAGUACGUAGACGUCUGGAGUUGCCUGGAUGUCUCAGAACCAAUUGGUUCUUGAAAGGCUCCAACAACAGCAUCAGGAGUGGAUGUCAGCACAGCUUCAGGAGUACCAUAGGAGGGAGGAGAGACUCAUUUCUAAUAUCGUUGAGUCUAGUAUGUGCUCUACUGAGCGCUUUGUCUCCCUCAUGAUUGAUGGACUGCGCAGUGUGUUACCACAACACGUCUUCCCCAACAGGCCCAGUCAUUUUUCCAGGUUUUCAUAGUUCUCCUCCUUCUCCUUCCAUGUAUGGGUUGCAUGUUACUCAGGCAACACAUUUCCGCAGUAGUGAAGAGGAAGAGAGUUUUCUCAACCUCUGAUGUUGUUACUGCAGUUACUCAUGCAGUUUUGUUAAAAGUUCUUACCGAUAAGCUAUAGACCCCUUCAAGGUUUGUAAACAUUUAAUGACUAUCGGGUGCAUGCGCAACAUGGGGUCAAACUGUUUAUACCAUUUAGGCGUUCUAGUUUAAUCUAACAGGGCUGAAAAAUAAUGACUUACCUGAAAUGAAGUGAGCACUACAAACACAAGCCUCUUUGAUCAUUGCAUUGUCCCAGUCUGCGUUUAAUUGCUUGCAGCCACAGAUGUUGUAUUCUGGAGGAAUCCCGAAAAACUUAACGGCAGACCUGGUGCGAUUUUCAAAGCCCACGACGCAAGUAGGCAUUUUUGACGAUACCGAAUAAUACGCAACUCAAUCUGCUGUAAUGACUUUUCUGACCCCGACAUGCGCAGUGGGAACCGCCUGUGACGUGAACUGUGAAGGGGUCUAUACUGAAUAAGCUGUAAUGGGCACAAUAACAUGCUGCUGGUUUUGUAGUUGUAUCCAGGUUUUUAGUUAUGUAAUUAUAUGAAUGGUCUAAUUUUGUUUUCUUACAAGGACUGUUGCAAUAAGGUGUCAUUUUGAGUUUUUGCACACUUGACAGCUACGUCAAGCUGAUAUAUUAAUAGUAUUAUCACAUUUUUUGCCAUAGCAAUGUUAAACAUGUUUGUAUGUGCAAUUGUGUAAAACUACUGUGAAUGUUUGUCCAGUCUAGGACAAGUUUUUUUUUAGGAGGACCUGUUGCAUUAAAGUGUCUUUUUUUACAUACAGGAAAACUACCUCAAGGUGAUAACAUUAUUUCGAUUAUUUUGUUUGCAUAACAAUGUUAAAAACGUGGUUAUAGCACAGUUGAGACUACUUUAAAUAUAUGUCAGUCCUAGGAUCUUCAGUGGAAACAUAGGUUGUUACUGCACUUUGGAACUUCCAGAUAAGCGUACAGUCUUGUUCAAAAU